GACAAACGCUGGCGGCGUGCUUAACACAUGCAAGUCGAGCGGAGCGGCGAACGGGUGAGUAACGCGUGAGUAACUGCCCCCCUCUCUGGGAUAACAGUUGGAAACGGCUGCUAAUACCGGAUAGUGGGGGAUGACUCGCGUCCUAUCAGCUGGUUGGUGGGGUAGUGGCCUACAAAGGCGACGACGGGUAGCCGGCCUGAGAGGGCGACCGGCCACCUUGGGCUGAAAUACAGCCCGAGCUCCUACGGGAGGCAGCAGGUGGGAAUAUUGCGCAAUGGGGGAAACCCUGAUGCAGCAACGCGCGUGCGGGAUGACGGCCUUCGGAUUGUAAACCGCUAUCAGCCAUGACGCGGUAGUGGCAGAAGAAGCACCGGCUAACUACGUGCCAGCAGCCGCAGUAAUAC
rnacentral:rRNA from 1 species